AUUGAACGCUGGCGGCAGGCUUAACACAUGCAAGUCGAACGAGUGGCGGACGGGUGAGUAAUGUCUGGGAAACCGCCCGAUGGAGGGGGAUAACUACUGGAAACGGUAGCUAAUACCGCAUACCAUCGGAUGUGCCCAUAGGGGAUUAGCUAGUAGGUGGGGUAACGGCUCACAAGGGCGACGGUCCCUAGCUGGUCUGAGAGGAUGACCAGCCACACGGGAACUGAGACACGGUCCAGACUCCUACGGGAGGCAGCAGUGGGGAAUUUUGGACAAUGGGCGCAAGCCUGAUGCAGCCAUGCCGCGUGUGUGAAGAAGGCCUUCGGGUUGUAAAGUACUUUCGGCGUGGACGCGUUACUCGCAGAAGAAGCACCGGCUAACUCCGUGCCAGCAGCCGCGGUAAUAC
rnacentral:rRNA from 1 species